CUAGAAUGAAGACCCAUUCUGUGAGAAACAAGGACCCCAAAACCGAGGGGAAACAACGCCCGGAAACUCAUAUGAAAUCUCAACAGAGUCGUGAAAAUCGAGUGCAUUCUGCACAGUCUCCACCUUCAGAUGACACGGCGAAGACAAGUUGCAUAUCUACCUCAGAAAAAGGAGUUCAAACGGAAAUAUCGAUGGCGGAUGCUAGUUCGUGGUGGAAAGUUUUGU